rnacentral:rRNA from 1 species
AACGUAGGAGGCAAGCGUUAUCCGGAUUUAUUGGGCGUAAAGCGCGUGCAGGCUGCUUGGAAAGUUGGAUGUGAAAGCUCCUGGCUUAACUGGGAGAGGUCGUUCAAAACUACCAAGCUAGAGAAUGGGAGAGGGAAAUGGAAUUCCGGGUGUAGUGGUGAAAUGCGUAUAUAUCCGGAGGAACACCAGUGGCGAAAGCGGCUUCCUAGACCAUUUCUGACGCUUAGACGCGAAAGCUAGGGGAGCGAACGGGAUUAGAGACCCCGGUAGUCCUAGCUGUAAACGAUGUAUACUUGGCGUUGGCGGAGUUAAAUCUGCCAGUGCCGGAGCUAACGCGUUAAGUCUACCGCCUGGGGACUACGACCGCAAGGUUAAAACUCAAAGGAAUUGACGGGGACCCGCACAAGCAGCGGAGCGUGUGGUUUAAUUCGAUGCUACACGAAGAACCUUACCAGGGUUUGACAUGCAAGUGGUAGGAAACUGAAAAGGGACCGACCCUUCGGGGAGCUUGCACAGGUGCUGCAUGGCUGUCGUCAGCUCGUGUCGUGAGAUGUUCGGUUAAGUCCGCUAACGAGCGCAACCCUCACUGUGUGUUAUAUGUGUCACACGGGACUGCCGGUUUUAAGCCGGAGGAAGGUGGGGAUGACGUCAAGUCAGCAUGGCCUUUAUAUCCUGGGCUACACACACGCUACAAUGGUCGGUACAAUAGGUUGCCAAGCCGCGAGGCGGAGCCAAUCCAAAAAAGCCGGCCUCAGUUCAGAUUGUAGGCUGCAACUCGCCUGCAUGAAGAUGGAGUUGCUAGUAACCGCAGGUCAGCAAUACUGCGGUGAAUACGUUCCCGGGUCUUGUACACACCGCCCGUCACGUCAUGGAAGCUGGCAACACCUGAAGCCGGUAUCCUAACCGCAAGGAAGGAGCCGUCGAAGGUGGGGUCGGUGACUGGGACG